AACGGCGUCAUAUAUUUAAGAACA
rnacentral:miRNA from 1 species